rnacentral:rRNA from 1 species
GACGAACGCUGGCGGCGUGCUUAACACAUGCAAGUCGAACGAAGUGGCGAACGGGUGAGUAAUACGUGAGUAACCUGCCCUCCUUUUUGGGAUAAGCCUUGGAAACGGGGUCUAAUACCGGAUAAAGGGGGAUGGGCUCGCGGCCUAUCAGCUUGUUGGGGGGGUGAUGGCCUACCAAGGCGGUGACGGGUAGCCGGGCUGAGAGGGUGGCCGGCCACAUUGGGAAUUGAAAACCGCCCAGACGCCUACGGGAGGGAGCAGUGGGGGAUAUUGCACAAUGGGGGGAAGCCUGAUGCAGCGACGCCGCGUGGGGUAUGAAGGCUUUCGGGUUGUAAACCUCUGUUGUUAGAGAAGCGGUAACUAACCAGAAAGGGACGGCUAACUACGUGCCAGCCGCCGCGGUAAUAC